GGCUCUUUGAAGAGAAUAGAUAAAGAGUCGGACCUGCCCAGUGAAAAUUUUCAACGGCCGCGGUACUCUGACCGUGCAAAGGUAGCAUAAUCAUUUGCCUUAUAAUUGAAGGCUUGUAUGAAUGGUUUGACAAGAAUAUAGCUGUCUCUAUAUAAUUUUAUAGAAUUUUAUCUUAAAGUGAAGAAGCUUAAAUAGUAUUAAUAGACAAGAAGACCCUAUCGAGCUUGAAAUGAGGUUAUUGAAGGUAUUAAAUAGAUUUAAAAAAUUGUCUAUAAAAAAUUUUGGUUGGGGCGACUUAGGAACAGAAAAAGCUUCCUAAAUUUAUAAAUAAGCAAAUUGAUCCAAGAUGUUUUGAUUAAAGAAAUUAGUUACCGUAGGGAUAACAGCAUUAUCUUCUUUAAGAGUUCUAAUCGAAAAGAGGGUUUGUGACCUCGAUGUUGGACCAGAAUGUCCUAAAGAUGCAGCAGUCUUUAAGGGUUGGUCUGUUCGACCAUUAAAAUUCU
rnacentral:rRNA from 1 species